CAACAGGUGUCUAUCUGGAGACGGUUUCCCCCGAAAAAACAGCAAUUACGACUCAAAUACCACCUGUCACCUGUCUUCACUAAAUUAUAUUUUACACUGACAAUCAAUCAUAACUAACCACCCAAGAGUGGCCAGGUGAGUCUCAGAGUGGCCAGGUGUGAGUCUCAGAGUGUCCAGGUGUGAGUCUCAGAGUGGCCAGGUGUGAGUCUCAGCGUGGCCAGG